GAUGAAGAACGCAGCAAAAUGCGAUAAGUAAUGUGAAUUGCAGAAUUCAGUGAAUCAUCGAAUCUUUGAACGCACAUUGCGCCCGCUGGUAUUCCGGCGGGCAUGCCUGUUCGAGCGUCAUUUCAACCCUCAAGCCCCCGGGUUUGGUGUUGGGGAUCGGCUCUGCCCUUCUGGGCGGUGCCGCCCCCGAAAUACAUUGGCGGUCUCGCUGCAGCCUCCAUUGCGUAGUAGCUAACACCUCGCAACUGGAACGCGGCGCGGCCAUGCCGUAAAACCCCAACUUCUGAAUGUUGACCUCGGAUCAGCUAGGAAUACCCGCUGAACUUAAGCAUAUCAAUAAGCGGAGGA
rnacentral:misc_RNA from 1 species